UACGUAGGCAGCAAGCGUUGUUCGGAGUUACUGGGCGUAAAGGGUGCGUAGGUGGCUCUAUAAGUAUGGUGUGAAAUCCCCAGGCUUAACCUGGGAAGUGCGCGCGAAACUGACGAGCUUGAGUGCCGGAGAGGGUCGCGGAAUUCCCGGUGUAGAGGUGAAAUUCGUAGAUAUCGGGAGGAACACCAGUGGCGAAGGCGGCGACCUGGACGGACACUGACGCUGAGACGCGAAAGCGUGGGGAGCAAACAGG
rnacentral:rRNA from 1 species